GACGUAGGAGGCGAGCGUUGUCCGGAUUCAUUGGGCGUAAAGAGCACGCAGGCGGUUUGGCAAGUCGGAUGUGAAAAUCCAGGGCUUAACCCUGGACCUGCAUCGGGUACGGGCAGACUAGAGUGCGGUAGGGGAGAUCGGAAUUCCUGGUGUAGCGGUGAAAUGCGCAGAUAUCAGGAGGAACACCGGUGGCGAAGGCGGA
rnacentral:rRNA from 1 species